GAUGAACGCUGGCGGCGUGCCUAAUACAUGCAAGUCGAGCGAACAGACGAGGAGCUUGCUCCUCUGACGUUAGCGGCGGACGGGUGAGUAACACGUGGAUAACCUACCUCUAAUACUGGGAUAACUUCGGGAAACCGGAUCUAAUACCGGAGAAUAUAUUGAACCGCAUGGUUCAGUAGUGAAAGACGGUUGUGCUGUCACUUAUAGAUGGAUCCGCGCCGCGUUAGCUAGUUGGUAAGGUAACGGCUUACCAAGGGGACGAUGCGUAGCCGGCCUGAGAGGGUGAGCGGCCACACUGGAACUGAGACACGGUCCAGACUCCUACGGGAGGCAGCAGUAGGGCAUCUUGCACAAUGGGCGAAAGCCUGACGGAGCAACGCAGCGUGAGUGAUGAAGGUCUUGGGAUCGUAAAACUCUGUUAUUAGGGAAGAACAAAUGUGUAAGUAACUAUGCACGUCUUGACGGUACCUAAUCAGAAAGCCACGGCUAACUACGUG
rnacentral:rRNA from 1 species